rnacentral:ncRNA from 8 species
UGAGUGUGUGUGUGUGAGUGUGUGUCGCUCCGGGUCCACGCUCAUGCACACACCCACA